rnacentral:rRNA from 1 species
UACGGAGGGUGCUAGCGUUGUUCGGAAUCACUGGGCGUAAAGGGCGCGCAGGCGGCUGCUCAAGUCAGGCGUGAAAGGCCUGGGCUCAACCCGGGAAUUGCGCUUGAGACUGGGCUGGCUUGAGUGCGGGAGAGGAUGGUGGAAUUCCCAGUGUAGAGGUGAAAUUCGUAGAUAUUGGGAAGAACACCGGUGGCGAAGGCGGCCAUCUGGACCGCAACUGACGCUGAGGCGCGAAAGCGUGGGGAGCAAACAGG